ACAGUGGAGGAGUAUA
rnacentral:sRNA from 1 species